rnacentral:rRNA from 1 species
UACAGAGGUCUCAAGCGUUGUUCGGAUUCAUUGGGCGUAAAGGGUGCGUAGGUGGCGCCAUAAGUCAGGUGUGAAAUCUCGGGGCUCAACCCCGAAACUGCACUUGAUACUGUGGUGCUCGAGUACUGGAGAGGAGAUUGGAAUUUACGGUGUAGCAGUGAAAUGCGUAGAUAUCGUAAGGAAGACCAGUGGCGAAGGCGAAUCUCUGGACAGUUACUGACGCUGAGGCACGAAGGACAGGGGAGCAAACGGG